rnacentral:lncRNA from 1 species
CUUUCUCUAGACGCGUCUUGCUGGGAGAGUGUCCGUUGCUUCCCGUCCGUGUCGCGGCCCUGCGGUUGGCGGCCUCCUCGUGGAGCGGAGCAAGGGUAGGCCCCACGUGGCGUCUUUGCCCGGCUCCAAGAUGGACGGCAGCGGGGACUGGGAGGCUGCUCUGGGGGAGCACGUGGCGCCCUGCUCGCCUGCUCCCGGGGCAGCUGGGAUGGUGGCGGAGUCCGGAGGCCUCCUGCCGCCGUCGGGCAGGGAGGCCGGCGGAGGCGGGGCCGUGGCCGCCCCCGAGAGGCGCCCAGGCGGCGGCGGCGGCGGCCCAGCUUCUUCUUUCCUCGCACAGCCAGGCGGCCCCUGCUCGAGUCCCGCGUCGCCAUGGCCGCGGUUCCCGAGUUGCUGCAGCAGCAGGAGGAGGACCGCAGCAAGGCCGUGGCUGCUCGCCGCCAUCCCCAGCGCGGGAAGCACCCGUGAGACCCGGGCGGCCCCUCUCCCUGGUCUUCACUGAAGGCUGCCCCGGGGAAUCCCUGUGGAUGUCCCGGAUUCUAUUAGGACAGAACCAGAGACGCGGGACCUUAGCCCCAGCUCAGGCGCCGGUGCCGAGCGGACUU